GGUUGUGGCUCAGUGGUAGAGCACUUGCCUAGCAUGCAUGAGGCCCUGGGUUUGAUUCUCAGCACCA
rnacentral:tRNA from 1 species